CGGUCUUGAGUUAAGGGAGGGGGAAGUACUCUGAUCCAUUUGGAAAGGAAGCAGUUUACUUUUAUACGAUACUUUGUAGUGAAUAAAGUACGAUAGUAUUAAUAUAGAAAAAUGGCCACAUUUCUUCAAAACGCAAAGAGGAUUAACCGAAACCUUGUUCUAAAUGGUGUUUAUUUAACCGGAACAUGCUGUAAGAAAUACUUGGAGAGUUUUAGACUCUUUUCUAUGAAACAUGCAGGUGGACCGGCAAAAAAUAUUGUCUUUAUUGAUGGUGUGCGAACCCCAUUUUUGCAAUCAGGAACAAAAUAUAAUGACCUAAUGGCUCACGAUUUGGCCACGCAUGCUUUACUUAAUUUGAGAAAUAGAACAGGAAUUUCAAAAGAAAUAGUUGAUUACAUUGUAUUUGGAACAGUCAUGCAAGAGGUACGAACUUCUAACAUCGGACGAGAAGCUGCCUUGGCAGCAGGCUUCGACGAUACCACUCCAGCUCAUACAGUCACGAUGGCUUGUAUCAGUAGCAAUCAAGCUUUAACUACGGGAAUGGGUUUGAUGGCAUGUGGAGUAUAUGAUACAAUUGUCGCUGGUGGUGUCGAAUUUAUGUCAGACAUUCCAAUUAGACACAGUCGACAGAUGCGCUCGUUGUUGCUAAAAACCAGAAAAGCCAAGACGCUCUCGCAGAAAAUGAGUCUUCUUGCUAGCAUUAGACCUUCGCACUUUACUCCAGAUUUACCAGCUGUAGCUGAGUUUUCCAGUGGAGAAACGAUGGGCCAUAGUAGCGACCGUUUGGCAGCAGCCUUUAAGAUAUCAAGAACCGAACAAGAUCAGUACUCGUUAAGGUCACAUUCUCUCGCCGCACGUGCUCAACAGCAAGGAUACCUGACGGAUUUAGUUCCUUACAAGGUUCCAGGAGUUGACGGUGUAGUGGAUAAAGACAACGGAGUUCGAGUUUCGACGUUGGAUCAAAUGAGUAAACUUAAACCUGCGUUCGUCAAACCGUACGGAACGAUUACCGCAGCGAACGCGUCCUUUCUUACGGACGGAGCUUCGGCGGCUCUGAUAAUGACGGAAGAAAAAGCGCAUCAACUAGGACUUAAGCCUAAGGCAUACAUGCGUGGUUUCAUUUACGUAUCCCAAGAUCCCGUGGAUCAGUUGCUUCUUGGUCCAGCAUAUGCCAUACCAAAGAUUUUGGACAAAACUGGUCUCAAGGUGGAUGAUGUCGGAGUGUGGGAAGUACACGAAGCAUUUGCAGCCCAAAUUCUCGCAAAUCUGAAGGCACUGGAUUCUGAUUAUUUUGCGGAGAACUAUUUGAAAAGGAGAUCCGGGAAAGUAGGAGUACCUGACCUUUCAAAGUGGAAUGCGUGGGGUGGAUCGCUCUCUAUCGGACACCCUUUUGCCGCAACGGGAGUACGUUUAGCUACACACACCGCUAAUCGACUGAUACGAGAAAAUCAACAAUUUGGAUUAAUUGCAGCCUGUGCUGCUGGCGGUCAGGGUGUCGCAAUGAUCAUGGAGAAAUACCCAGAUGCCAAGAUUUAAUUGACGUUUCAGGGAUUAUAUAUUCUCAACUACAUAGAAUGCUAUAUCAAAAAUAUCAUUAUAUUUUUCUACGCUAAUUUGCGAUUUUGUAUUGAUUAAAAGGUGAAAAUGGAGAAUGCAGAGUCAAGUGAUAUCUUACAGCUUCGUCUAAAAUUUCUUUUAUAUGUUUACUGCCACAUAAAGCUUGGUUUCUAAGAGUCUGAAA
rnacentral:misc_RNA from 1 species